rnacentral:sRNA from 1 species
AAAAGUUCUCAUUGUUCUGAGCUCAGUUAUUUUCUCUGUGCUACAGGACAGAGGAUCCCUUGGCAUGAAAUAAGAGCUAAGUGGUCCAACAGGCGUUGAAGUGUUAAAACAAGAAUAGAAUGGAGACUUGCUCUUUUGCCCAGGCUGGAGUGCAGUGGCGCGAUCUCGGCUCCCUGCAACCUCUGCCUCCCGGGUUCAAGUGAUUCUCCUGCCUCAGCCUCCUGAGUAGCUGGGAUUAUAGGCACGCGCCACCACGCCCAGCUAAUUUUUGUAUUUUUGGUAGAGACAGGGUUUCACCAUGUUGGCCAGGCUGGUCUUGAACUGCUGACCUCGUGAUCCACCUGCCUCGGCCUCCCAAAAUGCUGGGAUUAUAGGUAUGAGUCACGGCGCCUGGCCAGCUUCAUCAUCUUUAAAAGCAAGAGAGCAAGCCCUGGAGGUUCACUCUUUCAAGAAGUCGUGUGCUGAGGUGUAAUGCUACACAAGUCAGAGGAAAGAAGGGUCCUGAAACACAUGGCCUGAUUGUUGGCAAAGGCAUCGUA